GUGGGAUUGGAAUGAUAUCCCAAGUCAACAUCUGCUCCAGGAUUCGAAAGGUGGCCUUCAGAUUUAUAACCUACAAAGGACCUGGAUGUGCUGCCACCAUGAUGGCCACCACAAAGGAGGCCAAGUUGAUGAGUGGACUGCUGAGGAACAGAUGUAGGGAAAAUAAUGGUCCAUUUUCAAGGAGUGUCUUUAUCAGGAAAUGGACCUUUGCAGCUAUGUUCAGAAUAUGUGAGGAAUGUUCUCCUGUGGAAGAGUCUACAGGGGGCUACACUGCUACUAAAUUGAUACUUGAUGGAUCUGAUGACAAGAAUCCUUGUGAUAAGGAACUAGUUAAUAAGGACAACCUGCUGCAGAGGAACAAGAUAAAUCAAAAAUACCAAGGACUGUUCAAAGGAAAAACAACUAAAUGCCGACACCCUGUACAAAAGCAAGAACCAGGAGAUGGAGGGCUCUUUGAAGGAGAAUGUAGUAGAACAAGUCAACACGAAGUUAAUGGAUCAUAAGAAGCGUAGAACCAAGGUAACAUUCCGAAGGGAAGUGUAAUGCUUGCUCAAAUUUGUUAACUCUUUUUUAUGUUCUUCUCAUGGAACUCCUCACUGACGCCGGUUUUAUGCUAGCUUGAACACUAUUCCUCCUUAGGGUUUGAUGAAACAACAUUGCUGCUCAAUAAAGAAAAGGAGCAAGGCAAAACACACACAAGGGUUAGUGGAAAAGCAGAUGGCAAUGAAGCAAAGUCAGCAGAACUUGUGAGCCUUGGUAACGAAAAGGAGCAACGAAGAAAUCACACGAAAGUUAGUGGAAAACUGGAUAAUACGGCAAAGUCCGCGAGAGUUUCGGCUACCUGCGUUGCGUACUUUGUGUCUUAUGAUGGCUUUGCCUGGUUGAACUUUUAUGAAAUGCUUGUCUUGGUGAGCUUCAUGCGACUUAUAUUAUGCCCUUCUAUUGUUGAAUUCUAAAUGCUUUCUGCCAUCUCCUAGAUGAUUGUUGUUCGGC
rnacentral:misc_RNA from 1 species